rnacentral:pre_miRNA from 10 species
UGAUGCUUUGCUGGCUGGUGCAGUGCCUGAGGGAGUAAGAGCCCUGUUGUUGUAAGACAGUGUCUUACUCCCUCAGGCACAUCUUCAGGCACAUCUUA